rnacentral:tRNA from 1 species
GGCGCCGCGCGGGCGGGCGGUCCGCGUCGGGCUCGCGUGGGCCGGCCUGGGCAUGAUCGUGUGGGCCGUCGUCCGGUUCGGCUCCGAGACGGCCUUUCC